GGUCAAGCUAGAAAGAGCGCAAGGGGAAUGCCUUGGCAUCAGGAGCCGAUGAAGGACGCGACAAGCUGCGAUAAGCUUCGGGUAGCUGCAAAUAAGCGAUGAUCCGGAGAUUUCCGAAUGGGGCAACCCGGCACGGCAAUACCGUGUCAGCGUGCACUGAAUCAAAUAGGUGUACGUGGGGAACCGCCUGAACUGAAACAUCUAAGUAGGGCGAGGAAAAGACAUCAACCGAGAUUCCGCAAGUAGUGGCGAGCGAACGCGGAGGAGGCCAAACCAGAGGUCAUUGAUCUUUGGGGUAUGGACUUGCAUCAUGAUCAGAGGUAUCUAGUCGAAUGGCGUGGGAAAGCCAACCACAGAGGGUGAGAGUCCCGUAGACGAAAGAGAAGACUGACAGCGAGUAUCCAGAGUACCGCCGGACACGUGAAACCCGGUGGGAACAUGGGAGGACCACCUUCCAAGCCUAAAUACUACCUGAUGACCGAUAGAGAAGCAGUACCGUGAGGGAAAGGUGAAAAGAACCCCGGGAGGGGAGUGAAAUAGUACCUGAAACCUUGUGCUUACAAGCAGUCAGAGCACGUUAAAGUGUGAUGGCGUACCUUUUGUAGAAUGGUCCGGCGAGUUAUAGUCACUGGCGAGGUUAAGCAAUUCAGUUGUGGAGCCGAAGGGAAACCGAGUCUUAAUAGGGCGUCGAGUCAGUGGCCAUAGACCUGAAACCGGUGACCUAUCCAUGAGCAGGUUGAAGUUGGUGUAAAAGCC
rnacentral:rRNA from 1 species